rnacentral:tRNA from 1 species
GCCUGGGUAGCUUAGUUGGUUGAGCGUCUGACUCUUGAUUUCAGCUCAGGUCAUGAUCCCAGAUCCAUGGGAUCGAGCCCCAUGUCAGGCU